rnacentral:misc_RNA from 1 species
GUAGGUGAACCUGCGGAAGGAUCAUUAUCGUGCCAAAGGCUGCUGUCCCUUGGGAUGGUUGGCUUUUGUUACCCUUAUUCUCUGUUUUUGCGUACCGUGUUUGUUUCCUUGGUGGGUUUGCCCGCCAUUGGAAUCCCCCUACAAACCCUUUGCAGUUGCAAUCAACGUCUGAUAAAUCAAUAGUUACAACUUUUAACAAUGGAUCUCUUGGUUCUG